rnacentral:misc_RNA from 1 species
GAAAUGCGAUAAGUAAUGUGAAUUGCAGAAUUCCGUGAAUCAUCGAAUCUUUGAACGCACAUUGCGCCCUCUGGCAUUCCGGGGGGCAUGCCUGUCCGAGCGUCAUUACGCACCCUCAAGCCCGGCUUGUGUGAUGGGCCCCGGCGUCUCGUUCGCGAGACAAGCCCGAAAGGCAGCGGCGGCGUCGACCCGAUGAGCCCGAGCGUAUGGGGACUUCUGUCACACGUUCGCGGUGCGGACCGGCGCCUGCUUGACUUUUCUGAUUAUCCAGGUUGACCUCGGAUCAGGUAGGGAUACCCGCUGAACUUAAGC